GAUGAAGAACGUAGCGAAAUGCGAUACUUGGUGUGAAUUGCAGAAUCCCGUGAACCAUCGAGUUUUUGAACGCAAGUUGCGCCCGAAGCCUUUGGCCGAGGGCACGUCUGCCUGGGCGUCACGCAUCGCGUCGCCCCCCACAAAUUCUCCGUCAGGGGAGCUUGUGUUUCGGGGGCGGAUACUGGUCUCCCGUGCUCAUGGCGCGGUUGGCCGAAAUAGGAGUCCCUUCGAUGGACGCACGAACUAGUGGUGGUCGUAAAAACCCUCGUCUUUUGUUUCGUGCCGUUAGUCGCGAGGGAAGCUCUUCAAAAACCCCAACGCGUCGUCUCUUGACGGCGCUUCGACCGCGACCCCAGGUCAGGCGGGACUACCCGCUGAGUUUAAGCAUAUCAAUAAGCGGAGGA
rnacentral:misc_RNA from 1 species